AGAAAUCAAUGUGGAAGAGUUCUAGCGACUCCAAUCGAGGUAGAUGCCCAGCGAACUCGUAGAAAAACCGUUUCCCAAACGGCGCUGGAAAAUCUGCCACCGCGUCGGGAUCUUCGGCGUUGAGGAUUCGGAGCUCGCGGGUGUGCUCCAGCCAGACCCUCAACUCCCCGGAACGUAGAACCCGCUCUACGAGCAGCGUAUAUGUCGAAGCGUUGUCGAUUUGGAUGGCAAGGAAGAGGUAGUACCUGCUUGCUGGAAGCCA
rnacentral:misc_RNA from 1 species